rnacentral:rRNA from 1 species
GAUGAACGCUGGCGGCGUGCCUAAUACAUGCAAGUCGAGCGAACAGAUGAGGAGCUUGCUCCUCUGACGUUAGCGGCGGACGGGAGAGUAACACGUGGAUAACCUACCUAUAAGACUGGGAUAACUUCGGGAAACCGGAGCUAAUACCGGAUAAUAUAUUGAACCGCAUGGUUCAAUAGUGAAAGACGGUUUUGCGGUCACGUAUAGAUGGAUCCGCGCCGCAUUGGCUAGUUGGUAAGGUAACGGCUUACCAAGGCAACGAUGCGUAGCCGACCUGAGAGGGUGAUCGCCCACCUGGGAGCGGAGACACGGACCAGACUCCUACGGGAGGCAGCAGUAGGGAAUCUUCCGCAAUGGGGGAAAGCCUGACGGAGCAACGCCGCGUGAGUGAUGAAGGUCUUCGGAUCGUAAAACGCUGUUAUUAGGGAAGAACAAAUGUGUAAGUAACUAUGCACGUCUUGACGGUACCUAAUCAGAAAGCCACGGCUAACUACGUG